rnacentral:lncRNA from 1 species
CGGCCCGGUGCCGCAGCUCCCCGCCUGGCUCUCGGCAGACCAAAUGGAGGCGGCUAUUUUGGGAAGAGUUGACCAACUGCUCGACGAGAAAUUAAAGUUCCACUUGCCGAGACAUCGAGAAGUUCGAGACGUGCACCAGCGAUGCAACUGCCCGGCAGGUAGGCCAGGGGGACAAAGGCGCCAUGGGGAUCCCUGGACGGCCGGGCGCUCCGGGAGAAGCAGGCAUGUCCAUCAUCGGGCCCCGCGGUCCACCCGUAAGUGGCUUUUUGCUCUAUUUUUUGACCGAUGCAGGAUGUGGGCAAGUUAUAGGGAAGGACUUAG